ensembl:lncRNA
CGACUGGAAAAAUUUGCAAGCCCUGUGUUACAGGCAUGGCCCUUUAAGGAUGAAGCCUGAUGGGAAAUGUAUUCGGGAUGUGUGUAGCGGGACUGCCUGGUGUGUGUGUGAAGAGAGAGAGCGGAGAUGGGGAAAAAGUAACGGUUAGCUACAGAAGAGACGACAAGAAAAUAAAUAAAAGGAAUAUAAUAACUCCCUCGACAGCCAGAGUUGUGUCGGCGAUGCUCGCUAGACAUUUUGUCCCAAUCUUCUUUAGAUCACCUCACAUUUGACUCCAGAACAGUCUGGCUCACAGAGGAAUUGAUGGCUGACUCAGUGCCUGCAAGAUGCUCAGGUUCCUGUGGCUGCAAAACAAGCUCAAAUCAUCACCCCUCCACUAAAUACGCUUGACAGCUGAUGCAGCUAAUGGAAGACAAACAACUUUUUGAUUAAGCUCAGUGACCUUUCAUGCAAAAUAACAGAAAUGUGUGCUGCUUUAAUGUGAACGACUUUAAUAUUCCACAUGUGUUAUAGACACUGUGGAAACCCUGAUUGUCUUAUUACUCAAAUCCAGCGUCACUGCAAGUCUUUGCUUCCACAGUGAACUGUGGGGCCACAUGUGGGGAGCAACCCAGCGAGGAAUUAGAGGAUUACAGGAGAGACUGAGGACGCUGCUCUGCUCUGAGUAAUCUUGUUCACCUACUAACAAUACUCAUCUUUAUUUGGACGCUGGUCUUCUCAGGAGCUUCACUGUAACAGUCCAUGCUCUACUCCUCUCUUCAUUCCAUCUGCCUGCCUCCCUGCCAUGGCUACUGGGAUUCAUGCAAUCACGACAUCUGACAGGAAACUCACCCGGACCUCUCUGACUGCUUUCCCCACCACGUUGUUCUCCACCUGCGAACGAUGACUCUGAGCACCUUCUCCAAACCACGACCCAUUUCACCUUUAGCCCCCGUUCGUGGACUCUUUAAUCUGUAUAGUUUCAUCGCUCUACGUCUGGCUCACAGUUCAUGUUUGAAUUAUAGUGCCUCCGUCCGUGUCCGCGUUUGGGUUCAUUCUCCUGGCCCUGACAAGCAGAUGCUGAAGCACAUAGUGUGCAGAGGUUACCAACUUUCUACAGAGUUAAUCGCUGCAGCCCUCCAAACUUCAUGUGGUCUUCAGCUCAAGAACAGUGCAUAGAGAGCUUCAUUAAAUGGGUUUCCAAGGGGUAGUAGCUGUUGUAGGUUUUAGCAAUAUUGGCUUAUCUCAACUGGCACCCUGUUACAGCCAUAAUCUAAUAAUCAGGCCCCAUCUUAUCUUAAAAACCUUCUAAUAACAUAUCACCCCAAUAGAGUACUUUAUUCUAUUCAGACUUACAAAGUCAAGAAUUGUAAGAUGAGGUUGACUGACAUAUUGUUUGUAUAUCAAACAAUGCCUAGCUUUAAAGCAGCUGGCUUGACUUGGGUGUGGAUACAAAAAUAAAAGUAACAGUAAGUUAAAAAAAAAUAAAUAAAAAAAAUAAAAAAAUAAAAAAUUAGAUCAAGGUUCACAAACACAGCACAAAACAGCUGAACAAAAGACCACGGAAGUUGAAUAAAACAUAAGACAACGCAAUAGCGGUGGAAAAAAAAAUUGUCACAAAACACAAAUGAAAUAUGCUUAAAAGAAGCAGAGGUUUCAUUAGUGUUGUGAGGGAGAAAAAUAUGCAGUAAUGUGUGUUCUUAUUGCAUGAUUCAUAUAAUACUGUAGAUACAGCUAAUAGCUGCGGUUACUUCCGCAGCUGUUCCUACAUUACUGUCUGCCCAAAAACACUUUCAUUUUAUUUUGUUCAACCUUUGUGUUGUGUUGUAUUAUGAUUUGUGUACUUUUGCAGCAUUUUUCUAUCUGCUGGAAGCUUAAGUUGCAGUGCAGUUGACUGCAAAGAGCCACCACAGUAUGUCCUGGUUAAAUAAAUAAACGUGAAGGAAAAAAAAAAAAAAAAAUCAUGACAGCCAGAUAAUUGAGCGUGCGCACAUAUAUAUAUUUUAUCCUUACUGUAAACAUGCAAAUGUUUAGUAACAAGAUUUGCUGGUCUUUGAGGGAUCUGUGGAAUAAGUUUUUCAAAAAAACAAAUACAAAAAAAAAAACAGACGCAACAUUACAAUAAGCUACCAGAAAAAACAGUAAUACUGAAAUCUGUGGAGAACACGCGCGCGCACUUGCACAAACACCGAUUACACAAGGACGACAAGGACAAGCAAUAAAAACCAGCUCCUAAAAGCCUAGGAAAAGCCCAUACACACAUACAGUACAGGGAUAUGCAUGCACCUGGCAAUAGCAACAUUUAUCCUUCCAUUUUUAUACCUGUUUAUCCAUUCAGGGUCACAGAAGUAGCAUCAUAAAGUCUGAUCGCACCCAUUAAGUCUCCAUUAAAAAUAUGCCCAAUAAAUCAUGUUGCUGAUUUUCUUUCCUUUUUGCUUUUAUUUGACUGCAUCAAAAUUGAUUUGAUUAAUAUUUUAUUAUGAUCUAAUAAAAUUAGUCGAUUUUCCUUCAGUUAACCUGAACUGUUUAUCACCAGUGCCCC